AAUCAGCUAUGGUUCCUUAGAUCUUACAUACUACAUGGAUAACUGUAGUAAUUCUAGAGCUAAUACAUGCCACGAUGCCCUGACCCUUCGGGGAAUGGGUGCAUUUAUUAGAACAGAACCAACCGGGUGCAUUCCUCUGGUGUGUGCCUGUCCCAUUCUGUGAUGACUCUGGAUAACUUUGCUGAUCGCAGUCGGCCUUGUGUCGGCGACGAAUCUUUCAAAUGUCUGCCCUAUCAAUUGUCGAUGGUAGGUGACCUGCCUACCAUGGUGAUAACGGGUAACGGGGAAUCAGGGUUCGAUUCCGGAGAAGGAGCCUGAGAAACGGCUACUAUUUCCAAGGAAGGCAGCAGGCGCGCAACUUACCCAAUCCCGGCACGGGGAGGUAGUGACGAAAAAUACGGAUGCAGGACUCAACAGAGGCUCUGUAAUUCGAAUGAGUACAAUUUAAAUCCUUUAACGAGGAACUACUGGAGGGCAAGUCUGGUGCCAGCAGCCGCGGUAACUCCAGCUCCAGAAGCGUAUAUUAAAGUUGUUGCAGUUAAAAAGCUCGUAGUUGGAUCUGGGACGCAUGGUUACGUGUCGUCACUUGCAUUUCUAGCCUAGCUCAGGUUGGGCGAGAUUUGUGAGGCGGUUUCGUAGCUGUGUAGCCUUUCUGCCGUGUCUGUUUACAGGUGCCGAUGGUCAUUCCGUUGGCAUGCUUCCAGAUGCUCUUAACCGAGUGU
rnacentral:rRNA from 1 species